UUAAUAAUAAUAAUAAUAAUAAUUUAUUUUCACACAAAUUGUUACACUAUAUUGGUAAAGCCGAAGCCAUAGGCUUAUUUGGCAAAACUAUUUAAGAGUAUAGCUCGUGGUCAGUACAGAGAAUUAAGUAUGAAUUAUUCCAACUGAGUAUAUAAUAAAAAAAGAAAAAACCCAACCGGAAAAAGCAUUUAAAUUAGUAUAGAUAAUUCAUGCUUUAUGGAAAGCAGUAUAUGCAGCAUAUAUACAGCCAAAUUUCAGUCCUUUUUAUCCCAGAGCCAUUCCACAUGCACAUGUCAACCAUUCUGAGAAGUUAAGUAGUAGUUCUUUAGAAUACGUCUAAAAUUUUGAGUUGUCAAUGAUUGCCGAAUUAAAAGAGGGAUAGAAUUCCAAUUUUUCGGGCCUUGCGCACGAAUGGAAAAAGAAUAUUUAUGGGAAAUGAUAUGCAAAUCCUGUCUAUGCCUUGUAAAAUGAUCAUGGAUGUUAUAAUUGAACUCAAAUAAGCAAGAAAUGGGUGAAGGAAGGAGAUUGUUAACGUGUCUAAAAAUAAAACACGAAAGUUGAAAUUCAUAAAUCUGAAAGACAGUGAGGAUAUUUAAUUCCUUAAAGAGUGGUUUGGAAGGAGUGAGAGGGGGAGAAUGUGUAAUAAUUCUCAUGAUUUUUUUUUGACAUCGAAGUAAA